GAUGAACGCUGGCGGCGUGCCUAAUACAUGCAAGUCGAGCGAACGGACGAGAAGCUUGCCUCUCUGGUGUUAGCGGCGGACGGGUGAGUAACACGUGGAUAACCUACCUAUAAGACUGGGAUAACUUCGGGAAACCGGAGCUAAUACCGGAUAAUAUUUUGAACCGCAUGGUUCAAAAGUGAAAGACGGUCUUGCUGUCACUUAUAGAUGGAUCCGCGCUGCAUUAGCUAGUUGGUAAGGUAACGGCUUACCAAGGCAACGAUGCAUAGCCGACCUGAGAGGGUGAUCGGCCACACUGGAACUGAGACACGGUCCAGACUCCUACGGGAGGCAGCAGUAGGGAAUCUUCCGCAAUGGGCGAAAGCCUGACGGAGCAACGCCGCGUGAGUGAUGAAGGUCUUCGGAUCGUAAAACUCUGUUAUUAGGGAAGAACAUAUGUGUAAGUAACUGUGCACAUCUUGACGGUACCUAAUCAGAAAGCCACGGCUAACUACGUG
rnacentral:rRNA from 1 species